AGGUUGCCGAAGAGAUGGCAGGAUAUCAAAGCAACAGUAUGAAUGAUGUGUAUAAUGAGAUUGAUGGGUACAAUGAGGAUAAUGACAUUGUUCUGAUCACAAAAUCAGUUGACGAAAGUAUUGGUGAAGCACAAAUAUCAGAAUCUCAACUCACAUUUUCAGAUGACGUCCUUAGAAGCAUUGAUCUUGACUCCAUAACAAAAGCCAAUGUUGAAGUUGAAGAUGAGUUCAAG